rnacentral:rRNA from 1 species
AUUGAACGCUGGCGGCAUGCCUUACACAUGCAAGUCGAACGGCAGCGGACCUUCGGGUGCCGGCGAGUGGCGAACGGGUGAGUAAUAUAUCGGAACGUACCUUUCAGUGGGGGAUAACGUAGCGAAAGUUACGCUAAUACCGCAUAUUCUGUGAGCAGGAAAGCAGGGGAUCGCAAGACCUUGCGCUGAUUGAGCGGCCGAUAUCAGAUUAGCUAGUUGGUGAGGUAAAGGCUCACCAAGGCGACGAUCUGUAGCGGGUCUGAGAGGAUGAUCCGCCACACUGGAACUGAGACACGGUCCAGACUCCUACGGAGGCAGCAGUGGGGAAUUUUGGACAAUGGGCGCAAGCCUGAUCCAGCCAUGCCGCGU